rnacentral:rRNA from 1 species
UUUAUUUAAAUUAAAAUUUAUAAUAUUUUUAUUUUUAUUAUUUUAUUUAAUUUAAGUACAAUUAUGAAUUUAUCAUUAAUUUUUAACUGUUAAGGUUUAAUUUUUAAUAAUGUAAAAUAAUUAUUAGUACCUUUUGUAUCAGGGUUAGUUUAUUUAAUAAUUUAUAUAUUAUUCCCGAAUAGAAAAUAUUUAAUUUAUAGKUUAUUUAUUUGUUAUAAAAUGUUAUUAAACUAUAUUUUAGUAAUAAAAAGUUAUUCGUUUUUCUUAUAUAUCUGGUUUUCUAAGAUAAAAUUAAAUUUUAGAUUUAAUUAUUUAUUAAUUUAUUUUUUAUUAUUUCUUAAUGAUUUGGGGAAAAGCUCGAAUUUAUUUUUAAAAUAAUUAUUAUUAAAUAUAUUUUAUAGAUUUAAAAUCUUUCUUUAAGUUCGUAAUAGAUUUAUAUAUUUAUAUAAAAUUUUAUUUUAUUUAUAUUAAUAUUAGAUUUUUUUAAAAAAUUUAAAUUUAAAAUAAAUAAUGAUUAAAUUAGUAUAAUUUUUAAAUUAUUAUUUAUGAACUCGACAAAUUUUAUUUUCAACUGUUUAACAAAAACAUUUUUUUUAGAUUUAAUUAAAAGUAGUUUCUGCCCAAUGAAUAUUUAAAUGGCUGCAGUAUUUUGACUGUGCAAAGGUAGCAUAAUAAUUAGUCUUUUAAUUGAGGACUGGAAUGAAUGGAUAUAUGAGAAAUAUAUUUUAUUAUUUUAAUUUUUGUAAUUUAAUUUUUAAGUAAAAAAGCUUAAUUAAAUUUUAGGGACGAAAAGACCCUAUAGAACUUUAUUUUUAAUUUAUUUAUAUAAUUUUAGUAUUGAAAUUAUUUUAAUUAAUAUUAAAAAUUUGGUUGGGGGGACAUUUAAAUAUAAAACUUUAAUUUUUUURUUCAUUUAUUUAUGAUUAUAAUGAUCCAUUAUURAUUAAUGAUUACAAGACAAAGUUACCUUAGGGAUAACAGCGUAAUUUUAAUGGAGAGAUCAUAUCUAUAUUAAAGUUUGCGACCUCGAUGUUGAAUUAAGAAAAGUUUAAGGGGUAGUUUCUUUAAAAUCUAAGUCUGUUCGACUUUUAAAUUCUUACAUGAUUUGAGUUCAGAUCGGCGUGAGCCAGAUCGGUUUCUAUCUUAAAACAAUAUUUAUUAUUUUAGUACGAAAGGACCAUAUAAUACUAAUUUUUAUUUAGUUAAAUAUUUAA